GUCCCGUUAAAGCUCUUAAACGUCAUCAGAUCUUCGAGCUUUAUGUUCGGUACAGCCUAGCUUCACUGGGAUGAGUUUUACUAGAGUUAUUAGCAAAGAGUCGAUCGACAAAACCAGACGUGAUUGUGGCAAGUACGUAGACAUAACCUACACAAAACUUACAUAAUCCCUCGUGUCGAAGUUUUCUUGCAAUCCAUAAAUUCAGAGGAAUCUGUGUUGAUCUGUGCUAGUGCCUAGUGAAAACAAUAAUCAACCAAGUUUAUAGAACAGAGGUCAGGAGCCCUAUCUUUCUUGGCAGCCUAAGUGCACAUACGAGAGGCGUAUAGCCGAAGUGGUCCCCCAAUCUAAAAGGGGUACCCUUCGAACCCCCUCUUCUGACACAAUCGAGCAUCGAAAACCUCUGACUUGGGUCAACUUUAGUGAGGCGUAGCAACCCUUCGGAAGCCCAGCGCGUAAGGCGGCGCCUCGGAACCUUUCACCAGCUCCACUGAGACCACCAGUUUGUCGCGCACUUUAGUGCUUAUGUAAGCGGCAGAUCGACAUCAAGCCGGAUGUUCCACAUUUUAGCCCAGUGUCCAGAGCUAGAACAUUUAUUUUGACGGACCUGACUACAGAGGAGCCACCGCCAACAGCAAGACAGAUGUCCGGAGUUAUGCUGUGUUACUUUGCACAUUUUCUGGGAUUAAGUUCGAUAUGCCAUUUUAAAGCCAAUUCUCUGGCAGUUAUGUAUAUGUAUAUUCAAGCAUCGGGAAUAUGAGUGUUUGUAGAAAAGAUUGGGUAUGAAAUAAUAAAUUGAAAUCGUACUUGCAGGUACGUUCGAGUGCAUA